AACGAACGCUGGCGGCGUGCUUAACACAUGCAAGUCGAACGAUGAACUUGGAGCUUGCUCUGGGGGAUUAGUGGCGAACGGGUGAGUAACACGUGAGUAACCUGCCCUGGACUCUGGGAUGACUUCGAGAAAUCGGAGCUAAUACCGGAUAGGACCUUGCACCGCAUGGUGUGGGGUGGAAAGUUUUUCGGUUUGGGAUGGACUCGCGGCCUAUCAGCGUGUUGGGUAGGUAAUGGCGCAACAAGGCGUCGACGGGUAGCCGGCCUGAGGGGGUGAACGACCACACGGGGAAUGAGACACGGCCCAGACUCCUGCGGGAGGCAGCAGUGAGGAAUAUUGCAAAAUGGGCGCAAGCCUGAUGCAGCAUCGCCGCGGGCGGGAUGACGGCCUUCGGGUUGUAAACCGCUUUUAGUAGGGAAGAGGCCUUCGGGUGACGGUACCUGCAGAAAAAGGACCGGCGAACUACGUGCCAGCCGCCGCGGUAAGAC
rnacentral:rRNA from 1 species